rnacentral:rRNA from 1 species
AUUGAACGCUGGCGGCAGGCCUAACACAUGCCAGUCGAGCGGAUGAGGGGAGCUUGCUCCCUGAUUUAGCGGCGGACGGGUGAGUAAUGCCUAGGAAUCUGCCUGGUAGUGGGGGAUAACGUUCCGAAAGGAACGCUAAUACCGCAUACGUCCUACGGGAGAAAGCAGGGGACCUUCGGGCCUUGCGCUAUCAGAUGAGCCUAGGUCGGAUUAGCUAGUUGGUGAGGUAAUGGCUCACCAAGGCGACGAUCCGUAACUGGUCUGAGAGGAUGAUCAGUCACACUGGAACUGAGACACGGUCCAGACUCCUACGGGAGGCAGCAGUGGGGAAUAUUGGACAAUGGGCGAAAGCCUGAUCCAGCCAUGCCGCGUGUGUGAAGAAGGUCUUCGGAUUGUAAAGCACUUUAAGUUGGGAGGAAGGGCUGCUGGUUAAUACCCUGCAGUUUUGACGUUACCAACAGAAUAAGCACCGGCUAACUUCGUG